UCCUUCCAAGUGAACAUGGAAUAGAUGGGGAGAAGCUAUGGCUUCUCAGCUUUCACGGAAAUGCAGCUGUUAUACAGCCAGGUGAAACACUCUCCGAGGAGUCUGGUGAAGUUGCUCUGUUCUUGC
rnacentral:lncRNA from 1 species